rnacentral:rRNA from 1 species
UAGCUAAUACCGGAUAACAACAGAUGAUGCCUAUCAACUGUUUAAAAGAUGGUUCUGCUAUCACUCUUGGAUGGACCUGCGGUGCAUUAGCUAGUUGGUAGGGUAACGGCCUACCAAGGCGAUGAUGCAUAGCCGAGUUGAGAGACUGAUCGGCCACAUUGGGACUGAGACACGGCCCAAAAUCCUACGGGAGACAGCAGCU